rnacentral:rRNA from 1 species
AGUGAACGCUGGCGGUAGGUCUAACACAUGCAAGUCGAACGGCAGCACAGUAAGAGCUUGCUCUUACGGGUGGCGAGUGGCGGACGGGUGAGGAAUACAUCGGAAUCUACUUUUUCGUGGGGGAUAACGUAGGGAAACUUACGCUAAUACCGCAUACGACCUACGGGUGAAAGCAGGGGAUCUUCGGACCUUGCGCGAUUGAAUGAGCCGAUGUCGGAUUAGCUAGUUGGCGGGGUAAAGGCCCACCAAGGCGACGAUCCGUAGCUGGUCUGAGAGGAUGAUCAGCCACACUGGAACUGAGACACGGUCCAGACUCCUACGGGAGGCAGCAGUGGGGAAUAUUGGACAAUGGGCGCAAGCCUGAUCCAGCCAUACCGCGUGGGUGAAGAAGGCCUUCGGGUUGUAAAGCCCUUUUGUUGGGAAAGAAAAGCAGCAGGUUAAUACCCCGCUGUUCUGACGGUACCAAAGAAUAAGCACCGGCUAACUUCGUG